rnacentral:tRNA from 1 species
GCCUGGCUGGCUCAGUCUGACGAGCAUGUGACUCUUGAUCUCAGGGUCAUGAGUUCGAACCCCAUGCUGGGUG